UGUUACUUUGGCAGAGUAGUGCAAUUGAUUUAGGAUCUUUAAAUGUAUUUUAUACAAGUAAUA
rnacentral:tRNA from 1 species